rnacentral:rRNA from 1 species
UACGGGGGGAGCAAGCGUUGUUCGGAUUUACUGGGCGUAAAGGGCGCGUAGGCGGUCGUGACAAGUCACUUGUGAAAUCUCCGGGCUUAACUCGGAACGGUCAAGUGAUACUGUCGGACUAGAGUACAGAAGGGGCAACUGGAAUUCUCGGUGUAGCGGUGAAAUGCGUAGAUAUCGAGAGGAACACCUGCGGCGGAGGCGGGUUGCUGGGCUGAUACUGACGCUGAGGCGCGAAAGCCAGGGGAGCGAACGGG